UCUUCGACACUUUUUUUCUUUGUUUUGUUUCUUCAUGUGCCUCUCCUCCCUUCAUUCCUCCCCUGAGCUACAGCCACAUUCAGGGACCAGGCUUGUAAAACUGACUCCCCAAUUCUUCCCACAGCUUCCGCCAGGUGCGGCUGAAACACCGGAAGCUCCGGGAACAAGUGAACUCCAUGGUGGACAUCUCCAAGAUGCACAUGAUCCUGUAUGACCUGCAGCAGAAUCUGAGCAGCUCACACCGGGCCCUGGAGAAACAGAUGGACACGCUGGCGGGGAAGCUGGAUGCCCUGACUGAGCUGCUUAGCACUGCCCUGGGGCCGAGGCAGCUUCCAGAACCCAGCCAGCAGUCCACGUAGCUGGACCCACGAGGAGGAACCAGGCUACUUUCCCCAGUACUGAGGUGGUGGACAUCGUCUCUGCCACUCCUGACCCAGCCCUGAACAAAGCACCUCAAGUGCAAGGACCAAAGGGGGCCCUGGCUUGGAGUGGGUUGGCUUGCUGAUGGCUGCUGGAGGGGACGCUGGCUAAAGUGGGGAGGCCUUGGCCCACCUGAGGCCCCAGGUGGAAACAUGGUCACCCCCACUCUGCAUACCCUCAUCAAAAACACUCUCACUAUGCUGCUAUGGA
rnacentral:sRNA from 1 species